GUGUAGCUCAUAUUUUUUAAUUUUUAGUUUGGUUAAGUUAGAAAGGGCGCACGGUGGAUGCCUUGACACUAGGAGUCGAUGAAGGACGGGACUAACGCCGAUAUGCUUCGGGGAGCUGUAAGUAAGCUUUGAUCCGAAGAUUUCCGAAUGGGGAAACCCACCAUACGUAAUGGUAUGGUAUCCUUAUCUGAAUACAUAGGGUAAGGAAGACAGACCCAGGGAACUGAAACAUCUAAGUACCUGGAGGAAGAGAAAGCAAAUGCGAUUUCCUGAGUAGCGGCGAGCGAAACGGAACAUAGCCCAAACCAAGAGGCUUGCCUCUUGGGGUUGUAGGACAUUCUAUACGGAGUUACAAAGGAACGAGGUAGACGAAGCGACCUGGAAAGGUCCGUCGUAGAGGGUAACAACCCCGUAGUCGAAACUUCGUUCUCUCUUGAAUGUAUCCUGAGUACGGCGGAACACGUGAAAUUCCGUCGGAAUCUGGGAGGACCAUCUCCCAAGGCUAAAUACUCCCUAGUGAUCGAUAGUGAACCAGUACCGUGAGGGAAAGGUGAAAAGCACCCCGGAAGGGGAGUGAAAGAGAUCCUGAAACCGUGUGCCUACAAAUAGUCAGAGCCCGUUAACGGGUGAUGGCGUGCCUUUUGUAGAAUGAACCGGCGAGUUACGAUCCCGUGCGAGGUUAAGCUGAAGAGGCGGAGCCGCAGCGAAAGCGAGUCUGAAUAGGGCGUUUAGUACGUGGUCGUAGACCCGAAACCAGGUGAUCUACCCAUGUCCAGGGUGAAGUUCAGGUAACACUGAAUGGAGGCCCGAACCCACGCACGUUGAAAAGUGCGGGGAUGAGGUGUGGGUAGCGGAGAAAUUCCAAUCGAACCUGGAGAUAGCUGGUUCUCCCCGAAAUAGCUUUAGGGCUAGCCUUAAGUGUAAGAGUCUUGGAGGUAGAGCACUGAUUGGACUAGGGGUCCUCAUCGGAUUACCGAAUUCAGUCAAACUCCGAAUGCCAAUGACUUAUCCUUAGGAGUCAGACUGCGAGUGAUAAGAUCCGUAGUCAAAAGGGAAACAGCCCAGACCGCCAGCUAAGGUCCCAAAGUGUGUAUUAAGUGGAAAAGGAUGUGGAGUUGCUUAGACAACUAGGAUGUUGGCUUAGAAGCAGCCACCAUUUAAAGAGUGCGUAAUAGCUCACUAGUCGAGUGACUCUGCGCCGAAAAUGUACCGGGGCUAAAUACACCACCGAAGCUGCGGAUUGAUACCAAUGGUAUCAGUGGUAGGGGAGCGUUCUAAGGACAGUGAAGUCAGACCGUAAGGACUGGUGGAGUGCUUAGAAGUGAGAAUGCCGGUAUGAGUAGCGAAAGACGGGUGAGAAUCCCGUCCACCGAAUGCCUAAGGUUUCCUGAGGAAGGCUCGUCCGCUCAGGGUUAGUCAGGACCUAAGCCGAGGCCGACAGGCGUAGGCGAUGGACAACAGGUUGAUAUUCCUGUACCACCUCUUUAUCGUUUGAGCAAUGGAGGGACGCAGAAGGAUAGAAGAAGCGUGCGAUUGGUUGUGCACGUCCAAGCAGUUAGGCUGAUAAGUAGGCAAAUCCGCUUAUCGUAAAGGCUGAGCUGUGAUGGGGAAGCUCCUUAUGGAGCGAAGUCUUUGAUUCCCCGCUGCCAAGAAAAGCUUCUAGCGAGAUAAAAGGUGCCUGUACCGCAAACCGACACAGGUAGGCGAGGAGAGAAUCCUAAGGUGUGCGAGAGAACUCUGGUUAAGGAACUCGGCAAAAUGACCCCGUAACUUCGGGAGAAGGGGUGCUUUCUUAACGGAAAGCCGCAGUGAAUAGGCCCAAGCGACUGUUUAGCAAAAACACAGCUCUCUGCGAAGCCGUAAGGCGAAGUAUAGGGGGUGACACCUGCCCGGUGCUGGAAGGUUAAGGAGAGGGGUUAGCGUAAGCGAAGCUCUGAACUGAAGCCCCAGUAAACGGCGGCCGUAACUAUAACGGUCCUAAGGUAGCGAAAUUCCUUGUCGGGUAAGUUCCGACCCGCACGAAAGGUGUAACGAUUUGGGCACUGUCUCAACCAGAGACUCGGUGAAAUUAUAGUACCUGUGAAGAUGCAGGUUACCCGCGACAGGACGGAAAGACCCCGUGGAGCUUUACUGUAGCCUGAUAUUGAAUUUUGGUACAGUUUGUACAGGAUAGGCGGGAGCCAUUGAAACCGGAGCGCUAGCUUCGGUGGAGGCGCUGGUGGGAUACCGCCCUGACUGUAUUGAAAUUCUAACCUACGGGUCUUAUCGACCCGGGAGACAGUGUCAGGUGGGCAGUUUGACUGGGGCGGUCGCCUCCUAAAGUGUAACGGAGGCGCCCAAAGGUUCCCUCAGAAUGGUUGGAAAUCAUUCGUAGAGUGCAAAGGCAUAAGGGAGCUUGACUGCGAGACCUACAAGUCGAGCAGGGACGAAAGUCGGGCUUAGUGAUCCGGUGGUUCCGCAUGGAAGGGCCAUCGCUCAACGGAUAAAAGCUACCCCGGGGAUAACAGGCUUAUCUCCCCCAAGAGUCCACAUCGACGGGGAGGUUUGGCACCUCGAUGUCGGCUCAUCGCAUCCUGGGGCUGUAGUCGGUCCCAAGGGUUGGGCUGUUCGCCCAUUAAAGCGGUACGCGAGCUGGGUUCAGAACGUCGUGAGACAGUUCGGUCCCUAUCCGUCGUGGGCGUAGGAAAUUUGAGAGGAGCUGUCCUUAGUACGAGAGGACCGGGAUGGACGCACCGCUGGUGUACCAGUUGUUCUGCCAAGGGCAUAGCUGGGUAGCUAUGUGCGGAAGGGAUAAGUGCUGAAAGCAUCUAAGCAUGAAGCCCCCCUCAAGAUGAGAUUUCCCAUAGCGUAAGCUAGUAAGAUCCCUGAAAGAUGAUCAGGUUGAUAGGUUCGAGGUGGAAGCAUGGUGACAUGUGGAGCUGACGAAUACUAAUAGAUCGAGGACUUAACCAU
rnacentral:rRNA from 1 species